AUGCACCAUCUUGUCGUGGUCGACGCCGUCACAGCGCCCAUCACCACAUCGUCCUGCCGCACGCAGCAGCCACCUCUUGACAUGGACGGCGCCUUCGCAACGCCGAUCACCACGCCAUCAUCACCUCGCGGCAUCGCACCGAAACCGGCCAUCAGCGGUACCGCACCGCUGCCAGCCAUCACCUCGCACCGACGUCCUCCACCUCACAUGGAGUCCACCGCGUCACCACCGUCGCAGCCGUUGCCUCCGCCCAGCACCACAGCGGCCACCAUAGCCGCCGGCACCGUCGUCGCCGCCACGGAUCAACAAGGCUCUGAUGCCAAUUGUUGGCGCCGCCUCUCGCAGCGCCGCUUCUUCUUCUACCUUGAGCUGCCUCACACAACUCUCCAUCUCUCUUAA
rnacentral:rRNA from 1 species